AGAUGUGAUGAGUGAUCUGAGUGCGACAUCUGUCUGCUCACUGAUCUCCAGGGCUGAUUUGGCUGAUCUGGCAGGCUAGGGCGGGUGUCCCCUUCCUCCUUCAUUGCUCCACGUCCAUCCCUCCUGAGACUGCGCGCUGGGUCGAAGAGGAAGACCAUCCCCGCUAGAGGAGGACUCGUCUUUGGUCAAGGUAUACGAGUAGCUGCGCUCCCUGUUAAGAACCUCCAAACAAGCUCUCAAGGUCCAUUUACUGGUAACCCAAAUGCCUGUAACAGGCGGAGUUGGACCAGGGUUAAGCCAGGAAGCUAGAACGGAAUCU
ensembl:misc_RNA 7SK 7SK RNA